rnacentral:tRNA from 1 species
AAAGGGAGACCUAAUUCGGGUAGGAGACGAAAAAAAAGUAGUCGCUACCAAGAAUCAAUCCCAAAAGGUCGGAGCGAGGCGAAAUUGGCUUUCAAACUAGGUUCUGGGUUCACACAAGACCUGAAUCAGGAACAAGGGCUAUUAGCUCAGGUGGUUAGAGCGCACCCCUGAUAAGGGUGAGGUCCCUGGUUCGAGUCCAGGAUGGCCCACCUGCACAGGUGGCAAAAACAAGAGAAGCGAGGAAUCAGCACCUUAUCUUAUCUAUAUAUAUAUAGGAGAGAAUGCUGGCUCUGAGUAAAGAGUCCAGAGGAACCUUGAAAACUGCAUAGAGCUAGGUGAAAAAGCCAAAAAAGAAGACCGCAAG